rnacentral:rRNA from 1 species
UACGGGGGGGGCAAGCGUUGUUCGGAAUUACUGGGCGUAAAGGGCUCGUAGGUGGCCAACUAAGUCGGACGUGAAAUCCCUCGGCUUAACCGGGGAACUGCGUCUGAUACUGGAUGGCUUGAAUUCGGGAGAGGGAUGCAGAAUUCCAGGUGUAGCGGUGAAAUGCGUAGAUAUCUGGAGGAAUACCGGUGGCGAAGGCGGCAUCCUGGACCGAGAUUGACACUGAUGAGCGAAAGCUAGGGGAGCAAACGGG